GGGGUACGAGUCACUCCCAACCCCUGUGACAUACCACUUGUUGCCUCGGCGGAUCAGCCCGCUCCCGGUAAAACGGGACGGCCCGCCAGAGGACCCCUAAACUCUGUUUCUAUAUGUAACUUCUGAGUAAAACCAUAAAUAAAUCAAAACUUUCAACAACGGAUCUCUUGGUUCUGGCAUCGAUGAAGAACGCAGCAAAAUGCGAUAAGUAAUGUGAAUUGCAGAAUUCAGUGAAUCAUCGAAUCUUUGAACGCACAUUGCGCCCGCCAGUAUUCUGGCGGGCAUGCCUGUUCGAGCGUCAUUUCAACCCUCAAGCACAGCUUGGUGUUGGGACUCGCGUUAAUUCGCGUUCCUCAAAUUGAUUGGCGGUCACGUCGAGCUUCCAUAGCGUAGUAGUAAAACCCUCGUUACUGGUAAUCGUCGCGGCCACGCCGUUAAACCCCAACUUCUGAAUGUUGACCUCGGAUCAGGUAGGAAUACCCGCUGAACUUAAACAUAUCAAUAAGGCGGAGG
rnacentral:rRNA from 1 species